rfam:Sorghum bicolor cultivar BTx623 chromosome 9, whole genome shotgun sequence.
AGUUGAUGUGAGGAUAAGCCUUCGCAGAAACGCAUAGUUGUGUUGACUCGAAAAAUCAGACUACAAUUAUCUGAUCAACU